AACGCAAAUUGCACUCCUUGGUAUUCCGGGGAGUAUGCCUGUUUGAGGGUCAGUUUAAAUAAACAUCGAGGUUGUUGCUUUUUUGUGACGCUUCGGAAUUGGGGAAGUCUUGAUCUUUGGAUCAAGUGACCUGAAAUUUACACGUUUCUGUGCAUCUCGAACGUACAUAAGAAAUGUUUCUAAAUACGUUAGGGCUUGCCGGGGUUAUAUUAGGUAUGACCAUAUUGUUCGUGGCAUUCGUACCUAUAAUGUUAUUCAUGUUUUGACCUCAAAUCAGGUAGGAGUACCCGCUGAACUUAA
rnacentral:misc_RNA from 1 species